rnacentral:piRNA from 1 species
UGCAGAUAGGAAGAAGAGCUGGCACCCAC